rnacentral:lncRNA from 1 species
AGCUGGAGCCACUCCUCGCUGCUGCAUCCCCUCCGUUGGGCUCCUGGUCCCGUGUUCGUGGUCCAUGGAGUGUGGGGAGGGGAUCCAGGGGGGGAUCCAGAGGGGUUUGUAUGCACGGGGGUGGUGCUGGUGGGCUGCAGCAUCGCUGGGACUCCUGCGUCCCUCCUGUGUCCUCCUGUGUCCCCCCUGCAUCUCCUGCAUCCCUCCUGUGUGGUCCUGCAUUUCCUGCAUCUCUUGCAUCCUUUCUGCAUCCCUGCCUCCAUCAUCCUGCAUCCGUCCUACAUCUCCUGCAUCCCUCCUGUGUUCUCCUGUGUCCCUCCUGCAUCCCUCCUGUCUCUCCUGCAUCUCUUCCUGCAUCUCUUGCACCCUGCCAGCAUCCCUGCCUCCAUCACCCUGCAUCUCCUGCAUCCCCUUCACCUCCUGCAUCCCUCCUGCACCCCUGUCUCUAUCACCCUGAAUCCCUCCUGCACCCCCUGCAUCCCCUGCACCCCCCCCAUCCCCUGCACCCCCCCCCCCCCCCCCCCUACUGGGGGGGACCACCAGGGGGACCCCCGAGCUGUGGGGGACGAGACUGAGCCCCUGCAGCGCUGCUGGCCCGCUGAGGACCGGAGGGGACCGAGGGGGACCGGAGGGGACCGGGGGGGGCACCAGCGGGAACCCCCUCGGCCAGCCCCUCGCAGCGCCGUGCCCCACGCCGGGCGGCAGCGCUGGCGCCCGCACGGCUUCAGGCGGCGCUGCGUCAUUCCCCGCCGCCGCCCAAUCAGAAGCGGGAUCUCGGUGUAAAGCCCGCCCUCUAGGCUGAGCGGACCAAUCGGGUGGCGCGCACGGACGCGGAGGGGCUCCCGCGCUGAGGCCGCCGGGAGGGGAGGAGGAGGAGGAGGAGGAAGAGGAGGGGGCCGGGGGGUGAUGGCGCUGCGCAGGGCGCUGAGCGCGGCG